rnacentral:lncRNA from 1 species
UAUUUUAUAUUGCCAUAGUCAAUUAUGUGAGGCUGUGUAACCUUUUCCAGCUAUUACAGUCUUCAAAUCUUUCUGUGCUAAUGUUGCCAACAAUACAGAAGCAGCUUCAAAGCAUCUUUGCAGUGUUCGAAAGAGAAGACAGCUGGUACUGCUUAGAAACUAAGCUGCGAUGACCAGAUUUCUAAUUUAUAAAACUGGGGCAGCACACGUCAGGGGAACGUCGGCGGUGGUUUUGUGAAGAACACCCCAUGCCUGCUUUUAUAGAAGUCACAUAAACAACACCUAGUCUCAUUGGAAAACGAUGGAAACUUUGUCAGCAGAACUUCAUGAAAAAGAAAUCUCUUGUUUAGAAAAUAAGUCAUGAUUUAAAAGGACCAGCAGCAUCUGUGAAGAAACCCUGUCAAUCAGAAUCCUACACACAUGCAAAGGUUUGCCCGCCUCAGCCCUGUAGGACUGAUUCACUCAGACCACACUGCUAGCCCUGUCACCAAGCUUUCGUUCUUGUCUCCCUUUCUCUGUGC